rnacentral:ncRNA from 1 species
UCGGAUGAAUGCCGCUCUAGACACUGUAUGUGACAACAUUGUUUUUGAAAUAUAUACAGGGCCAAAGAAGCAAAACGGAAGGUGCAUAUCUCACCUUUUGUGGAAACUGCCAGGCAAAAGGAAGGCGACAGGACGAAUCUUUGGAGAGAAUGCUUUGGGCUUCCGCCCAGGAGCAUCACCUACGAGGCCAUAACCAACUGGUAAAAGGACAGAGAG